rnacentral:rRNA from 1 species
UUUGGAGGGCAAGUCUGGUGCCAGCAGCCGCGGUAAUUCCAGCUCCAAUAGCGUAUAUUAAAGUUGUUGCAGUUAAAAAGCUCGUAGUUGAAUUUCGGGGUUAGUAGGUUGGUCAUGCCUCUGGUAUGUACUGGUCUCACUGAUUCCUCCUUCCUGAUGAACCGUAAUGCCAUUAAUUUG